AGCUUUUGGAAAGAAGUUCAAAGUUACAAAGCUAUCAAGGUGAGUAGUAAACUAGUAUUGGGUUUUAAGUGUUGAGAAUGACUAGAGAUUUGAUUUGUGAAUAUUUUGUAGUUGAGAUUGUUAAUUCACUUUGGAGUGAUAGGAAAGUGAAAAUGGAUGGCCAUUUAAAUGGCAAUUGAAAGCUAGCUAAAAGAUAGCUUUUAGGGUUUAUAGUAUGUAAAUUGACAUUAUGGAAAUGUUAAUUUGAUGGUAGGUGUUAACGAAGCCCCAUCACCCCAAUUGGAUCAUUAGGGGGAUUAAGAGUCGGCUAAAGGCUCAACGAAUACCGGUGAGUGGACUUGCAUUUUAAACUUAUUUUGGGGAAUAUGAAAGAUUCUAUCCAACUUGUCUUAGAAAAUGUACCUUGGGAACAAGCUUUUAAUAAAAUGAUUUUAUAUUGUGAAAAUGUGUUAUACAAUGGUUUAUGUGUUAUCACAAUAUGGUAUAAUGCAUGAUAUGCAUUGGAUGCUUCUUUUCAUGUUGAUGUGGACCCGGCUAUGUGCGAGUGGGAGUGCACAUAAGCCGUUGCUGACCUGACUAUGUGCGAGUGGGAGUGCACAUAAGCCGUUGCUGACCUAGCUAUAUGCGAAUGGGAGUGCACAUAAGCCGUUGCAUAUGAGAUGAUGACGAUGGGAAGGUGUACAUGAUGAUUGAUAUAUAUAUAUACAUAUAUGGUAUAUGGUUGUAAAUGCAAAUAUGUGAGCAUUUGAUUUGUUGAAAUUUGGGAGUUUACAUGUGUUACAUGUUGCUAUUGUUAUUUUAGCAAGAUGGCUUGUUUUAAAGGAAAAUGAGACUUUUUCCUUGAUGUUCUGACUCUCGCUACAGCGAGAAACUCUCGGGUUUGAGGACCUUCACCAGACCUGGUUCUCGCUGCAGCGAAAAUGAAGUUCGCUGCGAGAAACUUUUUGUCCAUUUUGGCUAACUUGUGGGUUUUGCUAUAUUUUUCGAUUCUUUGGUACCAUAGUUGAGUACGGAUCUUUUAAGUGAUUUACUCAUGAGGGGUUUACAUGAGGGGUUCUACUAAGAACUAGAACCAAUUGCAAUGUUUUGCAAAAGGAAUGCAUCAUGAUUUUGUUAAAAAUCCCUUAUGGUAUGCUUGUUCCCUUCCUUGUUCAGUCACUGGGUUUAUACUCACCGUUUUCAACUUCAUGUUUUUAGAUCACGAGGCAGCUGGUAACUAGGUCAAAGUGUCUUUAUAUAUUCGACCCUUGGUAGGUGUCUCGGCAUUCAGUAGCUGUACAUUCAUCAGAGUCUCUCCGCUGGAAGUCGAGUAUUCUUUUGUUGUGUAUAGACAAGCUUAAUGUAAAUUAUUAAGAUACAUGUUGUCUACAAUGUAUAUACACUUGUUUGGUAUGCUAGUAUGAGGUGGCAAUGUUCAAUAUUAUUUUGAUUCUAAGUUAUGAAAUAUGACUUAAUAGUUUAUGAUGGAAUGAUGAACAUGUCAGAUUAAUAGGCUUGCUUGGGCUUAGUGGACUACGUCCAUUGGGCCCAUGUGUCGGUCAUGGCCCGAAAUUUGGGUCGUGACAUACACCCUCUAAUCUUUUAAAUCAGUGAGCUAUUUUGAAGGGUUUAAAAACAAGCUUUUGACUUUAAAAAAGGUCUAUAGUGCAUAUCUCAUUUUAGGAAAAACGUGGCUGAAAACAAAAAAGGAAAAAGGAGAGGAAAUCUUGAAGAUAAAGCUUGGAAAAGCUGCACCAACUACUUUCUCUCACUAGAUUUUGUUUUCUCUCUUUAUCUUUCUUUGUAAAAAAUGCUUUAUUUUUCUGAAAUGAUGAGUUUUGUUAUGAAUAUGUUGAGCUAGAUCUCUUUAUCUAGGAUUAUGGUGGAUGCUAUUAAAUAGCUUCGAUAUUUGAAUUGGUUUUUACAUACUCUUUAUGGAAUUAUUGAUGUUUAUUCAAAUCCGUAUCUAUUUUCUCUUUUGUUGCUUAAUCACCAACAAGAUGAGUUUAGGUUUUUGGAUGAUGCUUGACAAAGAUAGUCUAAAUAAACCUAUAUUUGGAUAAAAAUAUGUUCAUUCCAUUUAAUAAAUUGAGUGAGUGAUUAGUUAAUAAUAUAGACAUACACCUAUUAACCAUACAGUCAAUUUUUAGGACCUAGGCUUAACGAACUUAACUUGAAUUAAUUCCCUAUAGACAUAUAAUGCCUUAAGCAACUUAGGUAAUUAUAUGAUAGCUCAAUAGAGAGCCAUUUAUUCUAGAGGAUCCUAGACUAACAUUGAUCAUAAAAGUAGGUAAUUAACCAAUCUAACAUCCAAACGAAGUAUUAGCUGAACCCAUAAUCUUAGGCUUUAUUCCAUUACUUCUUUAUUAAAUUUUGGUUGCAAUUCUUAGUAUAGUUUUAACUAUUUAAAUUUUAUUUUUACUUCAAUUCUUAAAUCUCAAUUGCUUGGAUAAAAUUGGCUUAUUUAAAUGUUAGUACUUAGCAACAAUUAUUAAGCCAACUCCUUAUGGGAUCGACAACCCUUCUUAUCACUGUAUUAAUUGUUGAUGACCACAUGCACUUGUGUGAAUUUCUUGCUAAAUUGCGUAAAUCUCUAGAGUAAAUAUAUUGGUAAUUUAGCAAGCAACACACUAGUAGCCAAGGUAGUCCACACAAGCCAAACAACCUAGGCAGAUAGUAGCCCAGGAAGGCUAAACAACCAAGCAAUCAAGUAAGCCAAACAUGAGGCUUAACCCGUGCACUAGGGUAGAAGUGUCUACGCACCCUUAAGAGAGUCUUGUUUAGUUUGAACUCUUUGUUGGUUGAUGUAUUUUUGAAUUUGAAUAUAAAUUUGAUUAGGAUUCAAAUUUGAAUGUUGAAGAUAGGAUAUCCAUUCAAAUUUGAAUCCCAUAACCUUAUCAUGUAUUUUAAAUCCAAAUUGUAGCUAGAUAAGGGUGGCUAUCAACCUAUAAAUACCAUCUCUCUUAAUUUGUAACAUACACCAAUUUUAAGAAUGAAAACUCUCAAUUCUCUCAAGCUAUGUUUUCUUCCUUUUUCUAUUAUUUUUAUUGUUUUGUAGGUUUCGAGGUUUUGAUAACUCUAUUAUGUAGAGUUAUCUUACACAUAUUUGGAACCUAAAAUAGAGCUAAGUCCUUUAGUUUUUAAGUAAUUUAUAAGUAGUUUUAUGCUUUCUUAGUAAUAGUUUCAAUUAUAUUAUAGCAUUUUCAUUUAAGCAAUUUUAGUUUAAUUUUUUGUUUAAAAGCCCUAAUUUUAGCCUUUACUUAUUUAGUCUUUUAUUGAUAAGUAGUUUAUGAACAUGCUAUCGUGUUUCAAGUGUAACUCAAGCUAAAGAAGUCUGAUCGAGGUGAUUUUUGAACUGUUAGAAAGCUAAGAGAAGAAGCUACAACUUUUGUGUUCAUCACUCUACCCAGUUCUAAUGAGAUCAUGGUUGAAAAUCACUUCAAAAAAAGCAAAACUAUAGCAAACUCAACACAAUGUAUUUGGAGCUGCAACCUCAAAUCCUUCCUUGCUGCAACACCAAACUGAUCAACAAAGCAAGCAGUCAGGUUAAUAAGUUGGCAUCGUAGUGCCAAACAAGCAUCUAAGAUAGAAGGUUUGGGGCUGCAAUGCCAACCUUUUGGCAUUGCAGCGCCAAAAAAGCAUCACCACUAGGGCAAACAAAAGGUUUAGCACCACAGCACCAAAACGAACUUUAAGAAAUCCCAACCCUCGGUUUUGUUUUCAUCAAGUGGCUAUGAUUGGGGGUAUAACAGGUAUUUUUUAGUUCAAAAAAGGGGGCUUGAG
rnacentral:lncRNA from 1 species